rnacentral:sRNA from 1 species
GUUUCAAUUCUUUAAAAUAAAAAACUUGAGUAAAUCGGAUAACUAUUUUAAUUUUGGACGCCUGAUAAAUCAACCUUUCUGCUCAUUCGUAAUCAGAAUCAUUUUGGUCCUUUUAUAAUAUGGCUCUAAACCAUUGUCCAAUUUUUCUAAGCGAUGUGGGACAUUGUACACAUAUUAUUUCUUCAUCGGUUGAAUAAUAUAUGUUCGUUUAAAAAAAUUUGAAUUAC